ACUAUUGACGUUAGAGUUUGAUGC
rnacentral:siRNA from 1 species